UACGUAGGGGGCUAGCGUUGUCCGGAUUUAUUGGGCGUAAAGAGCGUGUAGGCGGCCAGGUAGGUCUGCUGUGAAAACUCGAGGCUCAACCUCGAGACGUCGGCGGAAACCAUCUGGCUAGAGUCCGGAAGAGGAGAGUGGAAUUCCUGGUGUAGCGGUGAAAUGCGCAGAUAUCAGGAAGAACACCCGUGGCGAAGGCGGCUCUCUGGGACGGUACUGACGCUGAGACGCGAAAGCGUGGGGAACGAACAGG
rnacentral:rRNA from 1 species